GACGAACGCUGGCGGCGUGCCUAAUACAUGCAAGUCGAGCGGACGGAUGGGAGCUUGCUCCCAGACCGUCAGCGGCGGACGGGUGAGUAACACGUGGGCAACCUGCCUGUAAGACUGGGAUAACUCCGGGAAACCGGGGCUAAUACCGGAUAACUCUUUCCCUCACAUGAGGGAAAGCUGAAAGAUGGCAUCUCGCUAUCACUUACAGAUGGGCCCGCGGCGCAUUAGCUAGUUGGUGAGGUAACGGCUCACCAAGGCGACGAUGCGUAGCCGACCUGAGAGGGUGAUCGGCCACACUGGGACUGAGACACGGCCCAGACUCCUACGGGAGGCAGCAGUAGGGAAUCUUCCGCAAUGGACGAAAGUCUGACGGAGCAACGCCGCGUGAGUGAUGAAGGUUUUCGGAUCGUAAAACUCUGUUGUCAGGGAAGAACAAGUACCGGAGUAACCGCCGGUACCUUGACGGUACCUGACCAGAAAGCCACGGCUAACUACGUG
rnacentral:rRNA from 1 species